CAGGUUAGGCCACUCCCUCCAACAGGAAGUGCAAUAAAAACAGCAGGAAUUCACCGUAACUCACCCCUCAAAGAAGUUGCCACUCCUGCUAAAGUAUAAGGACGGUCUGCUCAGUAAUGGGGGCGCUCAAGGUUUUUUCCACUCUUGCCAUCUGUCUUCUGUUGGCUCGUCAAACAUUUGCUAAAAAUGAGGCACCCUGCCAGAAGUCCAAGUGGAACAAUGGCUACAACACCUUUGUCAGACGCCACGUCCGCGCUGGAUUGCCCGCUACACUCAACAGAGAUGAUUGGAAGGCGUACAUCAAAAACAACGGGGGCUGUGACAGACCCACACAGUCUUUCCUUCACCCGGCAGACCUGGACAGGGUGAAGUCUGUGUGCACAAGUGCAGGAGGUAAGACAUACAAGGAGAACCUGUGCAUCAGUCGGCAGCCUUUCACUUUUGUCACAGUGAGGAGUGAACCGGGUACCUGUGGGAUCAGGAACAUCCGCGAGGAAACCAAACAUCUGAUUCUGGCCUGUGAAGUGUUGGAGAAUCAGUGCCUGCCUGUACAUUUUGAGGGAAAUCCUGAAAGUCAUGGACCAAAUAACAACGCAAAAGGCUGCCAGGACACUGAUAUUAGAGGCCACGCACCCAGCUUUAAAAUAACAUGGCUUCCAUUGUUGUUUGUUGUUCUGCUUGUUAUUUUAGUCUAAUCACAUUUUAAAUGGUUCAAGGGACAUUUCACUUUCUGGAUCACACUUGAGCAGACAUGUUUAAAGUAUUAAAAUGACAUUUGAAAAAUCAAACAACAAUCUGUCUAUGAACCACAUUGUGUACAGGUUUGAAAAAAAAAAAAAAAAGGUGUAUAACUUUUAUAAUUCAUGUUAUGCUUGUGUGUGUAUAAGGGUUUUUUUUUUCUUUUAUAGCUGUCCAGCAAUUAUUUCAGGAUAAGCAGAGAGGGAUUAAGGGAUUGUAUUUACAAAAGAUGUUUUUAUAAAGUGAAUAAGAUAUAUUUUUAUAUUUUAUAUAUUUUUCGGAGACUUUGUCCCAACACAGUUUCAGUCACCACAAACUGAUUUCACUGCAUGCGUUACUCUUUAUUUCUGUGCAUGCAACAUAUACAAAAAUUCUUGAGUCCAUGUUGCUCUUGUUUUCACCUUCUGUCUUGAUUAGUCAGUCUUCAACUUGACUGAUUGGCACCUGAUUUUGGCAGUUGCCAAAUAAAUGUCUUCAUUUUUUUUUUGCAUAAAUUUUCAGGGUUUGUAUGAAAAAAAUAAAAAAUUGGAUUCCUUUGUAAUCGCACACUCA